UUGACUUUGGAAUUUUGUUUACAUCUACCAAUCUUCAUUGCACUAAGAUGGAUGGAAUAACUUCAAAUGUACAUUCCUUCCUCCAAUUUUGAGUCCACAAACAAACCCAACCUCACCAGAAGGUUUUCCUUGUUUACAGAGAUCUUUAUGUCUGUUCCAGCACUCUGGAGACCAGCAAUCAUUUAAAAAUGAAAAAAUGUCACAUGCGUAUCUGUAAAGGGAAGAGUAAUCUGUGAUAAUUCAAAUGUUAAACUCCAACUGACAUCUGAUCCUGUCAGGCCUCAGAUAGCUAUCAGCAUCCUUUCAAAAUUUGGUCUUCCUCAUGCCUUUUUGGAACACCACACAUUUUUCCAAAUUUGCAGUUAUGCUAGCGGAAAAACCCUUCAAAGAGAAGCUAAAUCUUUUUAGUAAAGAAAAGGUGGCCCAACUUUAGAUGACAUUGUUUCCCUUCACUUUUUGCAAAUUUGCUUUAUGCAAAUUCAAUAUGACAAUUGAUUAUUUCACUAAAUAAUUCUGUGUAUGUGUGAAUGCACGCACAUGAAAAACAGUCGAGAAACAUGUCAAGACUUCUUCCAGCUUGAAUAUUUUGAAUAUUUUUCUUACAAAAUCACUUUUUGCCCUCACUAUCCUUAUUUACUGUGGUUGAGCCUCUUUUCCAUAUCUGAACCAGUAUUAGCCAUGGUAUCAAAAUGGGCAUCAAUAUUUUUUCUAACACCAUACUUAACAGAAAAGGAUCUUUCCAGUCAUGACUUUGGUGAAGGAACCUCACCCUAGGAUGAACUUCUAUUUAAAACUGAACAAAAAUUAAUAGUGCUAUGUUCUAACUGCCUGUCUGCCAAGAUAACCAUGCAUAUUGGAUAUGAAGAAAAGAUGGAUAAAAUAAUUUCACAUGAAAGACUUACAAGCACAUUUGUCAGUGUAUACUCUAUAACCCUUCCUUUUUCUACCAAUUGUCUUGCUUUAUGCAAAUUCACUUUAUGCAAGAUAUGGGAAAACGACUCUAGUAUAAAGCAAGGAAAGUUUGAUAAUUUCCUAAUUUAAAAAAUAAGAUACAUAUAUUAGAUUAAUAAUGAGAUUUUUGUGACAUACCAUUGCAUGUAAUAAGCCAAAUUAAAUGACAAUCAUUGACCAACUGUAACCAUGUUGUCCACAAUUAACCAUGGGCACUUUCCUAAUUCAUGUAUUACAGGAGAAGCUUUUCUAAGUUUAAGCCAUUCAUAUUAUUUUCCCUAGUUUUAUAAUAUUAACACAGAAGAAUUUGAGAGAUCUGAACUAUGAGUCCACGUGAGAAUGAGCAACAAACACUUUCACUUCCCAUCCAACUUAUUCAUCAUUCUUGGUUCCAAAACAAAAAUAUAGCCUCAGUGCUGUUAUUUGUAAUUCAAUCCAUACAACUGCUCAACCGAGAAAUUGUUAGCUUAGGUACUGCAGGAAAUCUGUAUGGCAUGCAAAAGUUGAUAAGAGAUUUGUUGGUCCUUUAUUAAUAUUGAAUGGAACUUUCCAAUAUGGAGAAUAUCAGUGAAAGAAUAGCUCAUAUAUAAUGAGCUCUCAUCCAAUUCUCUCCACUAGAUUUGCAUCAGAUGUGCAAAAUUAGAAAGUAUUAGAAAAUAUUGAUAUAUACUAUUAAUCUUCACAGAGAGGUACACAUCUAGCAGGAGUAUCUCAUAUUAAAGUAUCCAAAACUGUAAUAAAUACUUUUCUACUUUUUGUCUAAUAAAAUAAGUAUGAAAGUUGUUUGUCAUAAAUCAUUGCAACUGAAUAUAUAGAAAAUUAUUUACAAUGGCUUGUGGCCACUUCAAAAAAUUGGCUUUCUCCAUGAUAGAAAAAUGUGAUAUGUAUCUCUGAAGCAAUUACAGAGAUAUCAUCAUCCACUUAAUUACAGUUUAGUGUCUGAAUACAAGAAUUCUGCAAUGUAAUUUCACUAAAAGAUCUACAGUAUCGGCAAAUUUCAACUAUAAAGAAA